rnacentral:rRNA from 1 species
UACGUAGGUCCCGAGCGUUGUCCGGAUUUAUUGAGCGUAAAGCGAGCGCAGGUGGUUUAUUAAGUCUGGUGUAAAAGGCAGUGGCUCAACCAUUGUAUGCAUUGGAAACUGGUGGACUUGAGUGCAGGAGAGGAGAGUGGAAUUCCAUGUGUAGCGGUGAAAUGCGUAGAUAUAUGGAGGAACACCGGUGGCGAAAGCGGCUCUCUGGCCUGUAACUGACACUGAGGCUCGAAAGCGUGGGGAGCAAACAGG